AUCACCAGUGAUUCUUUGUGAACUGACAUUCUGAAAAAGGGCAAGAACAUUAAAGAUAAAGGGAAACUAUAAACAAAAGAAAUUUUCAACAAAAAUAGAUUUACAGACGUCAACAAAGCCUAAAUGGUCAGACAUCUUGGUUUUCAUGAUCAUCAUUCAACAGGUCAAUACUGAACAGCAAACUUAAAGUUGAUAUUUUUCUACAUAGUGUGACUUUUUUAUUAAUUUGAAAUGGAAUGUGUUUUUUUUCCUACAUAAGAAAGAGGAAAUUUCAACAUAAUGACUAUAAACAAAAAGGAGUCAUAUCAUCAUGAUCAUAGAUGCUCAAGAACUUAAUCAUGUAAAUGCAAGAACGUAAUUAUCAAUUGAAAGAAGGGAGGAAUGAAAAAAUAUAUUAGUAUUUUGUUGUCCAAAUGAACUUGCUUUGUCCACUCAUUUAAAUCGCUCCUUCCAAUAAAGAUGUACUGAGGAAGAUUUUUGAAGAACAGAUUGCAAAAAUGUUUUGUCUAAGAAUUGUAGGAAUAUUCUAAUGAAUGAAAUAAUUUAUUUACUUGACUCUUAUAUAGUGGACUGAAUAAUUGUUCAUAGCAAGCUGAAACAAGAAAACUAAAACUUAACAGGAAAAGUGUUUAUUUUAUAAAUUUACAAAUAUAAAUGUCAUAUUAUGAACACGU